rnacentral:lncRNA from 1 species
UCCUUUAGGACUAAGAAACUGAGAGUGAGAAGUGGGACACGCUGGUCCUAAUCCAGGCUCCGACACUAACCACCCCAAUCUCCCCUGGGCCUCAGAAUCAGCAUCCGUGGUUUGGAGCAACAUGACCUACGUUGCACACCUCACAGGAAGGACUUCAUUCUGGGUCAGCGACCAAAAGAAUUGAACCAGGAGCAAAGAUCAUGCUUAUUGUCCAGCAGAUGGUCGAUAAAUAUUUUACAAUGAAGGAGGAAAGCAAGAAACGAAGCUCUAUUUUCUCAGGAUAUCAAGGUGUUUCCUGAAAUGCCUUUGUUGAUAUUGGCAGUUGCAGGUUGGAGACAUAAUGUGUUGUUGGAGACAACAUCUUAAGGCAAAUCACUGAAAGACAGACUCCUGGCUUUGACAGAAAGCUUGAUAGAGAAUACCAACACGGCAAGGAGUCAUAGGGGUCUUUAUUGAACAGUAUCAAGUUAAAUGGGACCAACUACCAUACUGAAGACUUGGCUUUACUGAAGACAGACAGGACUACUCCAGGGAGGAGCUUACCCGGGCUCCAGAUUGGCCCCACUGGAAAAUCUGCUUUGCUCAGGAAAGAUUCUUGGCAAUUACCUGUAGCAAACUCAACUAGCAACUUGCCCAUUCUUUGGUUUGAACCAACCCUCUGGAUUUCAGCUCAAUUGAUCAAUUUGCCCUCUCUCCAAAACUUCAAUUCACUCCUAUUUACCUCUUUAUUGUCUCUCCUCUCCACUGGUCUAAAAAUUACAUGAAGAGAGAGAUUAUGUCACUUAAUUCACCACUGUAUACCUGUGCAUGACAUGGUGCCUAACACAUAGUGGAUGUGUGAUAAAUAAGGGUUGAAUGAAUGAAUGAAUCUGAAGGACCCAAAGCUCCAAUUUCCUUCCUAUGCUGUGGUAGGUCACGGUGUUCAGCCUCCCAACAUCCAGACCACUUCAGCUGAUGAGUCUAAAGUUCUAGGUGUUCUUAACCUCGGAUCCAUGGACCAAUUAAGGGUCUGUGACUGUGCAUAGAAAAAAUGCCUCUUCAUUUUCACUAACUUUUAACUGAAAUGUAGCUUUUCCUUCAAUCAUAAAUGUAGAGAAGAAACCACAGUAGUCUAUGAGCAGGACCUGUGAUUUUUGUGACCAGUAGAAUCCUUUAUGCUCAUCAACAACGUGGAAUUAUUGUAGUAAUUGUA